rnacentral:rRNA from 1 species
GACGAACGCUGGCGGCGUGCUUAACACAUGCAAGUCGAACGGAAAGGCCCUGCUUUUGUGGGGUGCUCGAGUGGCGAACGGGUGAGUAACACGUGAGUAACCUGCCCUUGACUUUGGGAUAACUUCAGGAAACUGGGGCUAAUACCGGAUAGGAGCUCCUGCUGCAUGGUGGGGGUUGGAAAGUUUCGGCGGUUGGGGAUGGACUCGCGGCUUAUCAGCUUGUUGGUGGGGUAGUGGCUUACCAAGGCUUUGACGGGUAGCCGGCCUGAGAGGGUGACCGGCCACAUUGGGACUGAGAUACGGCGCAGACUCCUACGGGAGGCAACAGUGGGGAAUAUUGCACAAUGGGCGGAAGCCUGAUGCAGCAACGCCGCGUGCGGGAUAACGGCCUUCGGGUUGUAAACCGCUUUCGCCUGUGACGAAGCGUGAGUGACGGUAAUGGGUAAAGAAGCACCGGCUAACUACGUG